AUGCAUGUCUAAGUAUAAGCAAUUAUACAGCGAAACUGCGAAUGGCUCAUUAUAUAAGUUAUCGUUUAUUUGAUAGUACCUUACUACUUGGAUAACCGUGGUAAUUCUAGAGCUAAUACAUGCUAAAAAUCCCGACUUCGGAAGGGAUGUAUUUAUUAGAUUAAAAACCAAUGCCCCCUGGGCUCUCUGGUGAUUCAUAAUAACUUCUCGAAUCGCAUGGCCUUGCGCCGGCGAUGGUUCAUUCAAAUUUCUUCCCUAUCAACUUUCGAUGUUUGGGUAGUGGCCAAACAUGGUUGCAACGGGUAACGGAGGGUUAGGGCUCGACCCCGGAGAAGGAGCCUGAGAAACGGCUACUACAUCCAAGGAAGGCAGCAGGCGCGCAAAUUACCCAAUCCCGAUUCGGGGAGGUAGUGACAAUAAAUACCGAUACAGGGCUCUUUUGGGUCUUGUAAUUGGAAUGAGUACAAUUUAAAUCCCUUAANNNNNNNNNNNNNNNNNNNNNNNNNNNNNNNNNNNNNNNNNNNNNNUCCAGCUCCAAUAGCGUAUAUUAAAGUUGUUGUGGUUAAAAAGCUCGUAGUUGAACCUUGGGCCUGGCUGGCCGGUCCGCCUCACCGCGUGUACUGGUCCGGCCGGGCCUUUCCCUCUGUGGAACCCCAUGCCCUUCACUGGGCGUGGCGGGGAAACAGGACUUUUACUUUGAAAAAAUUAGAGUGCUCCAGGCAGGCCUAUGCUCGAAUACAUUAGCAUGGAAUAAUGAAAUAGGACGCGCGGUUCUAUUUUGUUGGUUUCUAGGACCGCCGUAAUGAUUAAUAGGGACAGUCGGGGGCAUCAGUAUUCAAUUGUCAGAGGUGAAAUUCUUGGAUUUAUUGAAGACUAACUACUGCGAAAGCAUUUGCCAAGGAUGUUUUCAUUAAUCAGGAACGAAAGUUAGGGGAUCGAAGACGAUCAGAUACC
rnacentral:rRNA from 1 species